UGGCGGACGGGUGAGUAAUGUCUGGGAAACUGCCCGAUGGAGGGGGAUAACUACUGGAAACGGUAGCUAAUACCGCAUAACGUCGCAAGACCAAAGAGGGGGACCUUCGGGCCUCUUGCCAUCGGAUGUGCCCAGAUGGGAUUAGCUAGUAGGUGGGGUAACAGCUCACCUAGGCGACGAUCCCUAGCUGGUCUGAGAGGAUGACCAGCCACACUGGAACUGAGACACGGUCCAG
rnacentral:rRNA from 1 species